rnacentral:rRNA from 3 species
AAAUUGAAGAGUUUGAUCAUGGCUCAGAUUGAACGCUGGCGGCAGGCCUAACACAUGCAAGUCGAACGGUAACAGGAAGCAGCUUGCUGCUUUGCUGACGAGUGGCGGACGGGUGAGUAAUGUCUGGGAAACUGCCUGAUGGAGGGGGAUAACUACUGGAAACGGUGGCUAAUACCGCAUAACGUCGCAAGACCAAAGAGGGGGACCUUCGGGCCUCUUGCCAUCAGAUGUGCCCAGAUGGGAUUAGCUAGUUGGUGAGGUAACGGCUCACCAAGGCGACGAUCCCUAGCUGGUCUGAGAGGAUGACCAGCCACACUGGAACUGAGACACGGUCCAGACUCCUACGGGAGGCAGCAGUGGGGAAUAUUGCACAAUGGGCGCAAGCCUGAUGCAGCCAUGCCGCGUGUAUGAAGAAGGCCUUCGGGUUGUAAAGUACUUUCAGCGGGGAGGAAGGUGUUGUGGUUAAUAACCGCAGCAAUUGACGUUACCCGCAGAAGAAGCACCGGCUAACUCCGUGCCAGCAGCCGCGGUAAUACGGAGGGUGCAAGCGUUAAUCGGAAUUACUGGGCGUAAAGCGCACGCAGGCGGUCUGUCAAGUCGGAUGUGAAAUCCCCGGGCUCAACCUGGGAACUGCAUUCGAAACUGGCAGGCUUGAGUCUUGUAGAGGGGGGUAGAAUUCCAGGUGUAGCGGUGAAAUGCGUAGAGAUCUGGAGGAAUACCGGUGGCGAAGGCGGCCCCCUGGACAAAGACUGACGCUCAGGUGCGAAAGCGUGGGGAGCAAACAGGAUUAGAUACCCUGGUAGUCCACGCCGUAAACGAUGUCUACUUGGAGGUUGUGCCCUUGAGGCGUGGCUUCCGGAGCUAACGCGUUAAGUAGACCGCCUGGGGAGUACGGCCGCAAGGUUAAAACUCAAAUGAAUUGACGGGGGCCCGCACAAGCGGUGGAGCAUGUGGUUUAAUUCGAUGCAACGCGAAGAACCUUACCUGGUCUUGACAUCCACAGAACUUUCCAGAGAUGGAUUGGUGCCUUCGGGAACUGUGAGACAGGUGCUGCAUGGCUGUCGUCAGCUCGUGUUGUGAAAUGUUGGGUUAAGUCCCGCAACGAGCGCAACCCUUAUCCUUUGUUGCCAGCGGUUAGGCCGGGAACUCAAAGGAGACUGCCAGUGAUAAACUGGAGGAAGGUGGGGAUGACGUCAAGUCAUCAUGGCCCUUACGACCAGGGCUACACACGUGCUACAAUGGCGCAUACAAAGAGAAGCGACCUCGCGAGAGCAAGCGGACCUCAUAAAGUGCGUCGUAGUCCGGAUUGGAGUCUGCAACUCGACUCCAUGAAGUCGGAAUCGCUAGUAAUCGUGGAUCAGAAUGCCACGGUGAAUACGUUCCCGGGCCUUGUACACACCGCCCGUCACACCAUGGGAGUGGGUUGCAAAAGAAGUAGGUAGCUUAACCUUCGGGAGGGCGCUUACCACUUUGUGAUUCAUGACUGGGGUGAAGUCGUAACAAGGUAACCGUAGGGGAACCUGCGGUUGGAUCACCUCCUUACCUUAAAGAAGC